GACGAACGCUGGCGGCGUGCUUAACACAUGCAAGUCGAACGGAGAGGCCCUGCUUUUGUGGGGUGCUCGAGUGGCGAACGGGUGAGUAACACGUGAGUAACCUGCCCUUGACUUUGGGAUAACUUCAGGAAACUGGGGCUAAUACCGGAUAGGAGCUCCUGCUGCAUGGUGGGGGUUGGAAAGUUUCGGCGGUUGGGGAUGGACUCGCGGCUUAUCAGCUUGUUGGUGGGGUAGUGGCUUACCAAGGCUUUGACGGGUAGCCGGCCUGAGAGGGUGACCGGUCACAUUGGGACUGAGAUACGGCCCAGACUCCUACGGGAGGCAGCAGUGGGGAAUAUUGCACAAUGGGCGGAAGCCUGAUGCAGCAACGCCGCGUGCGGGAUGACGGCCUUCGGGUUGUAAACCGCUUUCGCCUGUGACGAAGCGUGAGUGACGGUAAUGGGUAAAGAAGCACCGGCUAACUACGUG
rnacentral:rRNA from 1 species